GGCCACAGCCAUAUCACCCUGCAGCUCAAGACUGCUUACUCACUGAAGCUAAGCAGGGCUGAGUGUGGUCAGUACCUGGAUGGGAGACCACAUGAGAAAGCUAGGUUGCUGUUGGAA
rfam:Danio rerio chromosome 7 genomic contig CTG751, GRCz11 reference primary assembly.